GGAAAAUUAUUGAUUUUGGUGCUUAAUGCAGUUAAUUUUAUGCAUGUGUAAAAGGGUAGGUUUGAUACUCUUGUUUUGAACCGGACACACAGGGGUUAGAAUGCAGAUCAUUAAAUGGGGCCGCUUGCAGCCCGGCCAGAUCACAGAAACAUAAAUUAACAUUCUUGCAGGCAGUUGGGGAGAACUGCUGGAGGCCAGCAUCUGCGAUGGUGUAAAACUAAUGCAAAAUAGAAGAUUGAAACCCCGUAACAUUUAACUUCUAAGUAUUAAUACCAUGUUCACUGAAGAUUGUAUUAUCUCAUAUUAAAAACUAUUAAAGGAUGAAUGUAUUUGAAAAACUGUAUUAUCUGUGACGAUAUUAGAACCAAAUGGAAAUUGUUUGUAUGAAAAUGUUUUCUUUACUAUUAGAAAAUGGCUCAGGAAUUAUACUCUAUUUUGUCCUGUAUAUUUUAUGUAUUAUUUUGGCAGAACUUAAUCUUUUGGGAGGCUGAGUGUGCAAAAGCAAAACUGGGGUUUGCAAAGAUAACAUUUUUUGAAAAUUACAAGAUGCAAGUCUCUUCGAGAACGUUAGGAGAGAUAAUGGAAGAGACGUCAGAUUUAUGGGUGUCUGCGAAAUCUUAUCUUAAGACUCUCGGCGCCAGGGACAUUCGUACCUGGUAUCGUCCAAGAUUAACUGGUCCGCCUUUGUCUCUCGAUAGAAACCAGACGCCUUUGGAACUUCGUUGUAAAUUGGGAGACUUCUCAAGUUUCCUGUAGUCCAUACGGGAGGUUAUAAUUGGUUAAAGAGUGGAACGCCUUAGUAGAAUAUAUUAAAUUGAAGAAACGCCCACUCAGUAUAAAACUUCAUGUAAAACGUUAAAAAUUCAGAAUGCUACCACUGUUUUGCUUUUUGGCAUAAUAAGCUUUCUCCAGAGACGCGUCUCUGCCCCUUUUGUUUCUUUGUGUUUCAUUUUCUAUUUCUCCUGUUACAGGUAAUGAAUAUAUCUCUGUAUCUCUGCAGCUUUGUUAUUGAUUGCUUUGUUAUGAAUUAAACUCCGUGAUCUGUGACGUCAACGCGCAGUGUCGUGGUUUCACUUCCUCCAGCCGCAGUCCGUCUGCCAGAGAUUCCGGGACUCUAAGGAAGGAGAGGCCAAACUUUUUGUCCAAAGUUAAAGUUAUAUUAUUCUUCCUUAAUAAUUGGGGGCUUCGUCCGGUUCUGAAGUUUUGGCAGGCGGAUCGGCCUGUUUCGGCUCGACGGCUUGAUGCGAUCCUGGCAGGGGAAUUUGUGAAAUAUCAGACGACACAGGAACGUCCCGGCUCACCACCCGUUCCGGGAAUCGACUGGGUGCGCCUGAAAGUCAUCAAAAGAAAGUGGUCGGAACCUCGCUUCACCGGACCAUACCGAGUCGUGGAGAGAACAUCUCAUGCUGUCCGUCUGCAAGGGAAAGGAGACACCUGGUUUCAUUGGAGUCAGUGCACAGCAGCCGAGGAGCCACAGCGUGCGCUCCGAGACAUACAAGAAGAUCUUCAGCUUCAAUCUUCGGACGAGGAGCAACGCCAGGCGCUUCCAGGAGGGAGUGUAGCAGGAAUUCCUGCCACAACCACUUCAAGUACCUGAAAUUCAAAGUUUAAAAGGCUCGGACAGGCAUAAUAAUCCUGUUCCGAUGUCCUUCUAUUGAGGAAAAAGGAGAUUUUAUAUUCUCCUUAA